rnacentral:rRNA from 1 species
AUUGAACGCUGGCGGCAUGCCUAACACAUGCAAGUCGAACGGCAGCACAGCAGUAGCAAUACUGUGGGUGGCGAGUGGCGGACGGGUGAGGAAUACGUCGGAAUCUGCCCAGUCGUGGGGGAUAACUAGCCGAAAGGUUAGCUAAUACCGCAUACGACCGAGAGGUGAAAGCGGGGGGACCGCAAGGCCUCGCGCGAUUGGAUGAGCCGACGUCGGAUUAGCUAGUUGGCGGGGUAAAGGCCCACCAAGGCGACGAUCCGUAGCUGGUCUGAGAGGAUGAUCAGCCACACUGGAACUGAGACACGGUCCAGACUCCUACGGGAGGCAGCAGUGGGGAAUAUUGGACAAUGGGCGCAAGCCUGAUCCAGCAAUGCCGCGUGUGUGAAGAAGGCCU